UGUCAUCCAAUUUUUUAUAAUCAUCAGAAAUUAUAACACAAGAUGUCACUAGUUGCAUUAGUAUGAAACAAGAUAUUAAGAUAUGAGAUGACUGUUGUGCAUGUUUUUAGUUAUCUAGAUGAGCAGGAAUGCUAAACGAUACACCAACUACAAUCAAGUAGCAUAUUCCAGAGAGCUGCAUAAUAAAACAUUAACAUAAUAUUUUAGUAUUUUAAAGAGACAAUAAACUAAAUAAUAAAGGUUCCAAAAGUGUGUUUUUGCAGAAGGGCCAUUUUAGGUUUCUUAAAAGUAAAAACAAAAACAAAAUCCUUUUGUGCAAUGGAAAAGGUUCAAUGCAUGUUAAAGGUUUUUCAUGGAACCAUAAAUGGCAAUACAGAACUUUUAUUUUUAAGAUAAACUCAUUAAAAACAUCACAUUUUCAUUGAAGGAUGUUGUGUUUAUCAUACCCAGCUUGUCUCCAACUGUGGUGGCUUCUGUUGGAUCUGAUGGUUCUCCAACGCCAGCUGAGUUGCAGCAACGAACGCGGAAACAGGUCCAUAGCGGCUACUGGUUCAGAGACACGGGAUGGAUGGCUCAUUCCAGCCUUAUUGACAGCACGCACGCGGAACACAUAGCUUCGUCCUUCCACAAGACCAGUAACAGGGAAACGUGCAAACUUAACAGGAGUGUCGUUACAUUGUGCCCAGUGUGUAGUGCCAACCUCACACCUACACAGGAGAAAGAUGCAGUGACCUAUCAACAAAGUAGCCCAAAAUGCUGCUUCCGCCGUCCACAGCAGGCUGUUUCCAGGAGAGGGCUCCGAGCUCGAAAUCUGGCCCGAGCCCAGAGUACUCCCUUUACUGGGAUAGAAACCAGCCGAGAGUGAGGCGAUGGGGUGGUGGAGGGAUGCUGUGAAACUGUCAUGGGACAGAGACUUACCAUCUCUGUACCACUCGAUCUCAGGCUGGAAGCGUUGCAGUGAAGGGUAGAUGAUAACAGAGCAGCCCAAACUCAACGUCUCACCCUCACGUCCAAAAGACACACCAAACUUCUCCACAAUGUGUGUCUCGAAUGUCACACCAUACUCCAGACAUGGUGCUGCAGUACACACACAUAUUAAAUCCAGUAUUAUUUUAUGAAAAUUCAAUGUUGUUGGAUAAGAUUGGCUCCAGGAUUCAUCAUAUAGACACAUUUGUUUAAUAAAACACACAUUCAAUUCA